rnacentral:rRNA from 1 species
AGUGAACGCUGGCGGUAGGCCUAACACAUGCAAGUCGAACGGCAGCACAGUAAGAGCUUGCUCUUACGGGUGGCGAGUGGCGGACGGGUGAGGAAUACAUCGGAAUCUACUUUUUCGUGGGGGAUAAUGUAGGGAAACUUACGCUAAUACCGCAUACGACCUACGGGUGAAAGCAGGGGAUCUUCGGACCUUGCGCGAUUGAAUGAGCCGAUGUAGGAUUAGCUAGUUGGCGGGGUAAAGGCCCACCAAGGCGACGAUCCGUAGCUGGUCUGAGAGGAUGAUCAGCCAGACUGUAACUGAGACACGUUCCAGACUCCUACGGGAGGCAGCAGUGGGGAAUAUUAGACAAUGGGCGCAAGCCUGAUCCAGCCAUACCGCGUGGGUGAAGAAGGCCUUCGGGUUGUAAAGCCCUUUUGUUGGGAAAGAAAAGCAGCAGGUUAAUACCCCGCUGUUCUGACGGUACCCAAAGAAUAAGCACCGGCUAACUUCGUG